UACGUAGGGGGCAAGCGUUGUCCGGAUUUAUUGGGCGUAAAGAGCGUGUAGGCGGCCAUGCAGGUCCGUUGUGAAAACUCGAGGCUCAACCUCGAGACGCCGAUGGAAACCGCAUGGCUAGAGUCCGGAAGAGGAGAGUGGAAUUCCUGGUGUAGCGGUGAAAUGCGCAGAUAUCAGGAAGAACACCCGUGGCUAAGGCGGCUCUCUGGUACGGUACUGACGCUGAGACGCGAAAGCGUGGGGAGCGAACAGG
rnacentral:rRNA from 1 species